rnacentral:rRNA from 1 species
CAAUAGCGUAUAUUAAAGUUGUUGCAGUUAAAAAGCUCGUAGUUGAAUUUCGGGUCCCCGCGCUCGGCGCUUCAUUGUGCCGUCGUGGUGUCCCUCCUCGCCGUAAGGCGUCCUUUACUGUGAAAAAAUUAGAGUGUUCAAAGCAGGCAAUCGCUUGAAUACAUUAGCAUGGAAUAAUAAGAUAGGAUCUUGUCUAUUUUGUUGGUUGCGGACAACGAUAAUGAUUAAUAGGGAUAGUUGGGGGUGUCCGUAUUGAGCUGUCAGAGGUGAAAUUCUUGGAUUUGCUCAAGACGAACUGCUGCGAAAGCAUUCACCAAGGAUGUUUUCAUUAA